AGAGUUUGAUCCUGGCUCAGAGUGAACGCUGGCGGCGUGCCUAAUACAUGCAAGUCGAACGAUGAAGCUUCUAGCUUGCUAGAAUGCUGAUUAGUGGCGCACGGGUGAGUAACGCAUAGGUUAUGUGCCUCUUAGUUUGGGAUAGCCAUUGGAAACGAUGAUUAAUACCAGAUACUCCCUACGGGGGAAAGAUUUAUCGCUAAGAGAUCAGCCUAUGUCCUAUCAGCUUGUUGGUAAGGUAAUGGCUUACCAAGGCUAUGACGGGUAUCCGGCCUGAGAGGGUGAACGGACACACUGGAACUGAGACACGGUCCAGACUCCUACGGGAGGCAGCAGUAGGGAAUAUUGCUCAAUGGGGGAAACCCUGAAGCAGCAACGCCGCGUGGAGGAUGAAGGUUCUAGGAUUGUAAACUCCUUUUGUUAGAGAAGAUAAUGACGGUAUCUAACGAAUAAGCACCGGCUAACUCCGUGCCAGCAGCCGCGGUAAUACGGAGGGUGCAAGCGUUACUCGGAAUCACUGGGCGUAAAGAGCGCGUAGGCGGGAUGGUCAGUCAGGUGUGAAAUCCUAUGGCUUAACCAUAGAACUGCAUUUGAAACUACUAUUCUAGAGUGUGGGAGAGGUAGGUGGAAUUCUUGGUGUAGGGGUAAAAUCCGUAGAGAUCAAGAGGAAUACUCAUUGCGAAGGCGACCUGCUGGAACAUUACUGACGCUGAUUGCGCGAAAGCGUGGGGAGCAAACAGGAUUAGAUACCCUGGUAGUCCACGCCCUAAACGAUGGAUGCUAGUUGUUGGAGGGCUUAGUCUCUCCAGUAAUGCAGCUAACGCAUUAAGCAUCCCGCCUGGGGAGUACGGUCGCAAGAUUAAAACUCAAAGGAAUAGACGGGGACCCGCACAAGCGGUGGAGCAUGUGGUUUAAUUCGAAGAUACACGAAGAACCUUACCUAGGCUUGACAUUGAGAGAAUCCGCUAGAAAUAGUGGAGUGUCUGGCUUGCCAGACCUUGAAAACAGGUGCUGCACGGCUGUCGUCAGCUCGUGUCGUGAGAUGUUGGGUUAAGUCCCGCAACGAGCGCAACCCCCUUUCUUAGUUGCUAACAGGUCAUGCUGAGAACUCUAAGGAUACUGCCUCCGUAAGGAGGAGGAAGGUGGGGACGACGUCAAGUCAUCAUGGCCCUUACGCCUAGGGCUACACACGUGCUACAAUGGGGUGCACAAAGAGAAGCAAUACUGCGAAGUGGAGCCAAUCUUCAAAACACCUCUCAGUUCGGAUUGUAGGCUGCAACUCGCCUGCAUGAAGCUGGAAUCGCUAGUAAUCGCAAAUCAGCCAUGUUGCGGUGAAUACGUUCCCGGGUCUUGUACUCACCGCCCGUCACACCAUGGGAGUUGUGUUUGCCUUAAGUCAGGAUGCUAAAUUGGCUACUGCCCACGGCACACACAGCGACUGGGGUGAAGUCGUAACAAGGUAACCGUAGGUGAACCUGCGGUUG
rnacentral:rRNA from 1 species